GACUGCAACCUUCCAGAAUGCAUAUCGAGUACUUUAGAGAGCCAUAUCAAUAAUGAAACUUAUCUAGAUCAGUUACAGCAGAUCUAGAUCAAUGUAGAAUACGUGGAAGUGUAGUACCCAUCAAUAUAAAACACUUUGCUGAAGACUCGAACCUUCUAGAAUGCUUAUUAAGAGCACUAGAAUACUUGCCGGUCGGGAGCCGUGUUCAUUUGUAGCUAGGGAUGUUCAAGAUAGCUACGCAAAUAGUUUAUUACCUCUAUACAGGCUUGGCAUUGGUCACGAGAUUCACAAGUAUGCUACGGUUAUGCUCGUAACGACCUGCGUAAGCACUCGCGAUGUUAGCAACCAUAGAUCACAUACGCUAAUGGGCAAAUCGUAACCAAGAAACCAUUGUUGACCGUAACGAUUUGUUUGUUUGUUCGACCAUCCCAGACUCUGACCUUCAGUCAAUUUGACCGUCAGCCCAUCAGUCCCAGUUUAUUCACGACCUCAAACAUUUCGUAAUUUUACGUUUUAAUUACUACCGGAAGAAAAUUGUGUAGGUCAAUGCAUCAACCCUAUUACAUAUUGAUAUUUUUUGUAACCUCACUCUUCUUGGCCGAUUACUAGACCUAGACGCGAUUCCUGUUACCGUUUCCGUAAUCGUCCGCGCAUCGCUUGGUGUAUAGCUACAAUUGUGAAAGAGCCCCUGGAAGAACAAGGACCGAUAAGGUGACGUUGCCCUGUUGAUAUCGACAUGCCGAACAUUCCCAACGUUCCUGAACAUAGGCGGAACGUAAGCUUACGCGUUUAGUUGGCCAAGUCUCCACACUGUAGGAUUUCAUCUGGUCCAGGGCUAAAGGUGAUCCCAACCCUCGGCCCACCCAGGCGCUGUCCUCAAUAUUCGACAGCGCCUCUGCAGUCAUAAUAAAGUGAAUAAUAUUGAACUAAUAUGUAUUUAUGUGAAUAAAUAUCUGAUGCAAAUGUUUUUAAUUAAUUAUUUCUUA